AUUGAACGCUGGCGGCAUGCCUUACACAUGCAAGUCGAACGGCAGCACGGGGGCAACCCUGGUGGCGAGUGGCGAACGGGUGAGUAAUACAUCGGAACGUGCCCGGUAGUGGGGGAUAGCCCGGCGAAAGCCGGAUUAAUACCGCAUACGACCUACGGGUGAAAGCGGGGGAUCGCAAGACCUCGCGCUAUUGGAGCGGCCGAUGUCAGAUUAGGUUGUUGGUGGGGUAAAAGCCUACCAAGCCGACGAUCUGUAGCUGGUCUGAGAGGACGACCAGCCACACUGGGACUGAGACACGGCCCAGACUCCUACGGGAGGCAGCAGUGGGGAAUUUUGGACAAUGGGCGCAAGCCUGAUCCAGCCAUGCCGCGUGCGGAAGAAGCCU
rnacentral:rRNA from 1 species